rnacentral:rRNA from 1 species
AUGGCGUCGUCGCCGGAGGGCGCAGCGGUGGUGAAUGCGUACAAGAAGGCGCUCGCCACUGCGGCCUCGGUGAGCGCGUACGCCAUGCUGGCGCGCGGCAUGGCGCGGGAGCUCCUCCCCGACGAGCUGCGCGCCGCGGUGCGCUGGGGCGCCGCGUUCGUGCGCUCCCGCUUCAGCGCCCCCGACAAGGAGCGCCACACCAUCGUCAUCCGGCGCGUGCUCGGCGGCGGGUACAACGAGGACGACCUGUUCGACGCGGCGCUCGCGUACCUGGCCACCAAGAUCAACCCGCAGUCCAUGAGCCGGCUCUGCCUCGCGCGCACCCGCAAGAGGGAGCCCGACGGGAGCGGCAGCUGCACCACGCUCCUGAGCAUGGAGAACGGGAGCUCCACCACCGUAUUCCAAGGCGUGGAGUUCCGGUGGACGUCCAUCGAGAGCGGCGGCAACGACGGCAACAAUAGGGGCAAGGAAUGCCUGGAGCUCAGCUUUGACGCGGAGCACACGGAGACCGCGCUCCACAAGUACGUGCCCUUCAUUACCUCCACGGCGGAGGAGCUGCGGUUGCGAGACCGCGCGCUCAAGAUCUUCCUCAACCAGGGCUCGAGUUGGAAAGGCAUCAACCACCACCACCCGGCCACGUUCGACACGCUCGCCAUGGACCCGUCCGUCAAGCAGGCCGUGAUUGACGACCUCGACCGCUUCCUGAAGCGGAAGGACUACUACCGGCGGAUCGGCAAGGCGUGGAAGCGCGGCUACCUUCUCUACGGCCCACCUGGAACCGGCAAGUCCAGCCUGGUCGCCGCCAUGGCCAACUACCUCCGGUUCAACCUCUACGACCUUGACCUCUCGGGGGUGUACGAUAACUCGUGCCUGCAGCGGCUGCUCAUCGACAUGUCCAACAAGUCCAUCCUCGUCAUCGAGGACAUUGACUGCAGCUUUGACACCAUGUCCAGGGAAGACCGCAAGGUAUCCCAUGCGACGACCUACACAGACGACGACGACGACGACGACGACGACGAGUACGACGACGCCCGAGCACGAGGAUACCCCCCGGAGCGCGAGCGCAAGAUAACGCUGUCAGGGCUGCUCAACUUCAUCGACGGCCUGUGGUCCACAUGCGGCGAGGAGCGCGUCAUCGUCUUCACCACCAACUACAAGGACCGCCUCGACCGGGCGCUGCUACGGCCGGGCCGCAUGGACAUGCACGUCUACAUGGGCCACUGUGGCUGGGAGGCGUUCAGGACGCUGGCCCGGAACUACCACCCGGUCGAGGUCCACGCGCUGUUCCCGGAGAUUCGGGAACUGCUUUCCGUGGUGGAGGUGACACCGGCGGAGGUGUCCGAGAUGCUGCUGCGGAGUGAGGACGUCGACGUUGCGCUACGGGUGCUUAUCGAAUUCCUCCAACAAAGAAGAUGCAAAACAAAUGAGGUAAAUGAGAAGAACGGCCGCAUAGCAGGAUAG